rnacentral:lncRNA from 1 species
GAUGGUGGAAGUAUUGCGUUGGCUGUCUUUAUCGUCAUUGUUGUAACAGGUAUUAUGACAAGUUUAGCAAAGAAAGUUGGUACAAUGUGUGGUUAAUUAAUGACCAGAAAUGCAGUUAAUUUCGAUUCUGUGGAGAACUGAAUGAAAUGUAUUACAUCCCCUGUUGGAAGGCUCUAUCUUUGUGUAAAUGUGCGCACUCACAAAUCGACUCUCAUUUCCUUUGUUUCCAUUUAUUUAUUUUUUUAGAAACCUGGACAAGUUGCUCCAAAUCAUUGCAUUUGUACUUUGCCUUAAAAGCUGUAUAUUAGCUAUGGAUGUAGUCCUGCAAGUUAAGAUACUGUAGACUUUUUUUUUCUGGCUACUUAUAAAUUCAUUCUAGAACACAAACCUCUAAGGUUGCAUCUCAAGUCUAAGGUGUUGCAUCUGGUGACUGAGAAAUCUGGUGAUAGAGUUCUAAGGCUGCAUCUCAAGUCAACUUAAGGACUUGUACUAGUAUCAUUUUGGAAGAGCUUGGUAAGAGGACCAAAACUCAUCAAUUAGUUUUGAUGUGAAAAAAGAUCUUCCUCCGUAAAAUUCAUGAACUAGGAAUGUUAUUAGAACAGCAUGGACAGCUUCUUAUGGUAUGUUUUGAGAGUCCAUGAUUCUCCAGAAUAUACUUGUUAGCCUUACUUGUGCUGAAUUUCACAUGUUUCACUAUUUUUUAAGGGCAAAGGUGCUUUGCCAAAAUGUUUUGCUUGCAAAUGUGUUGACCACAUUUACUUCUCUGCCUAGUAUGUUCCUUUUGUUAAGUUUACAAGGGAGAGGUCAAUCCUCUUAAACAGAAACAAAAACAUAGGGUCGCAGCCCCUAAAAUAUUUGCACCACGCAAUUCACUUAGUUCCUGUGGCGGUUCUGCUAUAAUCUGCAUCCCAGAUUCUUUGUUGACACUACUUUUAGCUAGCUAGUCUGCACACUUACUUCUUUCUCCAAACAUGUUGUAGCCAGGAUUCCGAUCCCUGCUUAAAACAUUCCUGAUCUGACAUAUUAGUGUAUGUGGUGGUCCUGUCCUGCUCCUUGUAUUAGUUCGAAAGCUGCCUUGCAAUUCGUGUCCAGAAUCACUCUUCUUUCUCCAGAGUUCCAAGCCAUUUUAUCCUUUUGAGUACUCCCACAGCUCUGCUAAGUGCUAUCAUAUUAUCUAUUAGCCCAAUAUUCACUAUAAAACCUGUUUUCCAUCUCCCCCAGCUAUCUAUAUGUCCGUUUUCAAAUUAAUAUGGCUUUGCCUCUUCUACUUGGAAUAAUGCUAAAUUGAGGAAGUGUACAUCUUGCCACAGUUAAUUGCUAAUUAUUGAUAGUUUCACGGUCUUACAUGGUAGUUUGUUCUCCAUAUAGCAUUUUUUAUACUGUAUAAUCACAAACCUUUUGCUGGAUGUAGGUUGGAUUUUCUGUUAACGGAGUAAUAAUACUAACUUUUAUGUGGGUUUUGAAGGCAUUCCUUGAGGUAAUACCUUUUCUUUUCACAUGAAUGGUUCCCAUUUUUUGUGCCAUUCUUGAAGUAAAUUUCACUGUGAAUGUUUUUGCAAUGUCCCGCCACUUGCCUAACUCACUAGUUUGAUUGGAAUACAAUAUUAAGGGGUGCUGGUUUUCUAUGGAAUUAAUACACCAUGACAAACAGCAAAAGUUCAGAGAUCUAGAACAAGAAAGUUGUUAUUUGCUUUUAAAUGGCAAAGAAACAUUCUAGUUAUGUUGGUACACAUUGCUCCUACUUGACAUCUUAUAUCAUGAUCGACAUUACUUUGGUUAUCAUACUUGACACCUUGUAUCCUUGUGGUGCAUUAGUUUGGAUUGUUUUGGUUUAGUUUAGUUUAGUUUACUUGAAUGUUUUAGCUAAGCAAGUGAACUGAAGUUGCUUUUCCUUUAGUGUUGUGCUUAUCGUCUUUAUCAACUGUUAUAUUGUUUCAUAGCAGUACUUAUAUCAGUACUUGUUAUAGUAGUGCUUGUUGCCUUAUCAAUUGUUAUAUUAUUCCUUUGAGGCUGAAGUUUAAUAGCAGUACUUAUUUCUUGAGCUAAAUUUGGUGCAUUAGUUUGGGGCUGAUUUUGAUUUUCUUUGGGGCUGAUUUUGAUUUUGAUUUUGAAUGUCUUAGGACGAUGGAAGGUAACUUUGGUCCGGAUCUUCUUGGUUUUCUUCUUAAAAGUUGUCCCAGAUUUGACAAAUUUGGCAACCUUGGCUGCUCGAGCCUUUGUAUCAAGCUUUUUGUGGUGUCAGCUUUAGGAGCCAUUGCUGAAAACUGC